rnacentral:rRNA from 1 species
UGGGGAAUAUUGGACAAUGGGGGCAACCCUGAUCCAGCGAUGCCGCGUGUGUGAAGAAGGCCUGAGGGUUGUAAAGCACUUUCAGCGGGGAGGAGGACUGAUAGGUUAAGAGCUGAUUAGUUGGACGUUACCCGCAGAAGAAGCACCGGCUAACUCCGUGCCAGCAGCCGCGGUAAUACGGAGGGUGCGAGCGUUAAUCGGAAUUACUGGGCGUAAAGGGUGCGUAGGUGGUUAGUUAAGUUAUGUGUGAAAGCCCUGGGCUUAACCUGGGGAUUGCAGAUAAAACUGGUUAACUAGAGUAUGAGAGAGGGUAGUGGAAUUUCCGGUGUAGCGGUGAAAUGCGUAGAGAUCGGAAGGAACACCAGUGGCGAAGGCGGCUACCUGGCUUAAUACUGACACUGAGGCACGAAAGCAUGGGGAGCAAACAGG